GACAGGAAAUAGGACAGGAAAGGACGGAAUGAGCUUCCUGCGUGUGACAGCCCGGCUACCGUGUGGGGAGUAAACUUCAGCCAUUGCGCCUCCUUGCAUUCUGGAAGCAACCCACUCAACAUUUAAAGUCCUAAGAAAGAGUCAGACUGGUGAAAGGUAAAAGAUACUUACGUGGGUCACUGUCCAUUAUUCAGAAACGAAAGAGAUAUUUGACUGUUUAUUACACAUGGACUCUUAACGGUCGCCUCAGCGGAAGAUCAAUGGAGUCCACACGGAAAGUUUCGACGGCCCUGAGCUCUCCACAUCAAGGUCCUAAUGCACCAGCCGGGAGUCACACGUGGCUUUGAGUGGUCGAAAUGUGUUCGUGUGACUGAGGAACUAAAUUUGUUCAGCUUUAAUUAUUUGUAAAUUUAAAUUUAAGAACUGAAUCUCAAUUCAGUCAUUGGAAAACUUUUAAGUACAUUUAGAACAACUUGGUUAUGUGAAUCUACAUUUUCCACUGUGCAUCUUAUGAAAUCUGAAGAUAUAUCAAGCAUUUCCGAUGACGCUUCACCAUAGGUGUAGAAGUGUAAGUUGUGUGUCAGUGUGAGUGUGGAAAACUCACUAGCUUUCCAAGAAUUAGUGUGAAAACAAGAACUGAAGAAUGUAAAAUAGCAUUAAUAAUUUUGGGGCUGGAUCACAUGUUGAAAUGAUAAUAUUUGGGGUAUAUUGGAUUACAUACAAUAUAUUAUCCAUUAAUGUUACCUUUUUCCUUUUUUAAAAUACGGCUCCUGGAAAAUCUGACACGGCCUUUGUGGCUCGCGUUGUAUUCCUGUGAGACGGCGCUGUUCCAGGACUCGGGUGAGGCUGCCCGGCUGUGAGGCCCCAGCAGAGCCUGAGGACCGGCCUUGGCCCCGCCACAGAGCAUCUUUAGUUAAAAGUCUGCUCUGAAUUGAAGCAGGAAGUUUCCUCCAUGGACUGCGUCUGUUUGCUUUUUGUUUGUGUGUUAAAUGAGAACUGGUGUGCUGGUAAACCCGCGCAUCUGCUGUAAAGUGUGACAUUCACGGUCUCAAGGUCAUUACCACAGACUAAGCAUUUACAAAGGGCCAGUGUGAUGGCUAAUUUCGUGUGUCAACCUGACUGGCCUAGGGAUGCCCAGACACCUAGUAAGACAUUAUUUCUGGGCGUGUCUGUGAGGCUUUUUCUGGAAGAGAUUAGCAUUUGGUUCAGUACACUGAGUAGAGAAACGCCCUCCCCAGUGUGGGCGGCAUCAUCCAGUCGUAUGGGGGCCCAAAUGGAACAAAACGGUGAAGGAAGGGCAAUUCUCUCUCUUCUGGAGCUGAGCUGUCCACCUUCUCCCGCCCUCGGACGUCUGAGCUCCUGCUUCUUGGGCCUGAGGCCUCCGGGACUUGCACCAGCAGCUGCCCUGGUUCUCAGGCCUUUGGAUUCAGAUGGAGUUACACCGCUGGUUCUCUGGCUCUGCAGCUGGCGGACAGCAGACUGUGGGACUUCUCAGCCUCCGCAACCACGUUCUGGAACUUCAGAUGGCUCAGCUUUACUUCUGCCUUUAACAUGAAAACAGCAGCAGCAGAGACGACCGCACUACUCAAACCACAUCCGCCCAGCCCUUCACAGCCUUCCCCACAGGCGGAUGAGGGAGAGAUGGAGAAACCGAGGCCGAAGGCCACAGUCUGGCUGCAGGAGCAGUGGCAGAAGAGCACGUCAGAGCAGUCACUGAAGUCUCAGCUCUGUGUUCAGGAGGCCAAAAUGGGGAGCUCCAGGGAACCGGAAAAUGCUGGAGACGGUGGAAAGGGAGGAGCUCAGGGAAGCGACUCUUACAGCUGACAUGGGUCUCCUGUAAUCAGCGCACUCAGACGCUGAGAACCCAACUAGGAGACGGACCGCUGCUCAGGUCCUGGACUAACCACCAGGCGGCAC
ensembl:lncRNA